rnacentral:siRNA from 1 species
UGAAUCGUGGAUCUUGGGCGGUAC